CUGCUCCUCUGAGCCAUCUCUACAUUUAUCUCCUUUUCUUUUCCAAAUUCUCCCAUCCCAGGGCAGAUUUAUCACAGCCUGGAAUAGUUAUUUUGCUGCAUUAAUCUCUGCAUUAUAGCUAUCAGAACUUGCUUAUUUCAUUGUGAUAAAAAGGCUUUAAACUUGAUAAAGGGAGGAACUCCCAAAAGCUUGUCACUACAAAUUUCUGUUAGUCC